AAAGGAAUUGACGGGGCCCGCACAAGCGGUGGAGUAUGUGGUUUAAUUCGAUGCAACGCGAAGAACCUUACCUGGUCUUGACAUCCCGGAGACCCUUAGGAAACUAGGGGUGCUUCCAUCUGGAAGAAUCUGGAGACAGGUGCUGCAUGGCUGUCGUCAGCUCGUGUCGUGAGAUGUUGGGUUAAGUCCCGCAACGAGCGCAACCCUUGCCUUUAGUUGCCAGCAGUUCGGCUGGGCACUCUAAAGGGACUGCCGGUGUUAAACCGGAGGAAGGUGGGGAUGACGUCAAGUCCUCAUGGCCUUUAUGACCAGGGCUACACACGUACUACAAUGGCCGAUACAAAGGGCAGCGACACUGCGAGGUGAAGCCAAUCCCGUAAAAUCGGUCUCAGUCCGGAUUGGAGUCUGCAACUCGACUCCAUGAAGUUGGAAUCGCUAGUAAUCGUGGAUCAGCAUGCCACGGUGAAUACGUUCCCGGGCCUU
rnacentral:rRNA from 1 species